UACGGAGGUGGCAAGCGUUGCUCGGAAUCACUGGGCGUAAAGGGCGCGUAGGCGGGGAGGUAAGUCGGGUGUGAAAAUCCCCUCGGCUCAACCGAGGAACUGCGCCCCGAGACUGCUUCUCUUGAGUCCCCGGAGAGGAAGGUGGAAUUCCCCGGUGUAGCGGUGAAAUGUGUAGAGAUCGGGAGGAACACCGGUGGCGAAGGCGGCCUUCUGGACGGUGACUGACGCUGAGGCGCGAAAGCGUGGGGAGGCAAACGGG
rnacentral:rRNA from 1 species